CUUUCUACUUCUCCAUCUCUACACAAAAGAAAUGUGGGAAUCUUCCAUUUCAAUGUUUUCAUAAAACAUUCCACAGUACAUCGCCAAGUAUGCAUGGAGAUCUACCCUUAUGAAGGCGACAUCUAUGGAGGAGACUAACACCUUACUAAACCAACGCAAACAAACAUAUCCACGGUGGUCUAUUGCGGAGCCAAAUACGAAAUAGCUGACUUUCUGUGCUUUCUA